rnacentral:pre_miRNA from 1 species
UUUCUACUCCCUCCGUUCGGAAUUACUUGUCUCGGAAAUGGAUGUAUCUAGAACAUCUAGAUACAUCCAUUUCCGAGACAAGUAAUUCCGAACGGAGGGAGUAUGUU